rnacentral:rRNA from 1 species
AGAGUUUGAUCCUGGCUCAGAAUGAACGCUGGCGGCAUGGAUUAGGCAUGCAAGUCGAACGCUCUCUUCGGAGAGAGUGGCGAAAGGGUGAGUAACGCGUGAGCAACCUACCUCUAAGUUCGGAACAACCAUUGGAAACGAUGGCUAAUACCGGAUGUGGUAAUUUUAUCGAUUGUUGAAAUUACUAAAGCUUUAGUGCUUGGAGAUGGGCUCGCGUCCCAUUAGUUAGUUGGUGAGGUAAUGGCUCACCAAGACUUUGACGGGUAGGUGGUCUGAGAGGAUGGUCACCCACACUGGAACUGAGAUACUGUCCAGACUCCUGCGGGAGGCUGCAGUCGAGAAUCUUCCGCAAUGCGCGAAAGCGUGACGGAGCAAUGCCGCGUGAAUGAUGAAGGCCCUUGGGUCGUAAAGUUCUGUCAGGGGGGAAAAAUAUUGAUGGUACCCCCAGAGGAAGCCACGGCUAACUACGUGCCAGCAGCCGCGGUAAUACGUAGGUGGCGAGCGUUAUUCGGAUUUACUGGGCGUAAAGGGUCCGUAGGGGGAAAGAUAAGUCUGAUGUGAAAUGCCGCAGCUCAACUGCGGAACUGCAUUGGAAACUGUUUUUCUUGAAUCAGGUAGAGGUAAGUGGAAUUCGUGGUGUAGCGGUGGAAUGCGUAGAUAUCACGAGGAACUCCAAAGGCGAAGGCAGCUUACUGGGCCAUGAUUGACCCUGAGGGACGAAGGCUAGGGUAGCGAAAAGGAUUAGAUACCCUUGUAGUCCUAGCAGUAAACGUUGUACACCAGAUGGUGGGGGAAUCAGCCCCUUCACUGUUCAAGCUAACGCGAUGAGUGUACCGCUUGGGAAGUACGGUCGC